UGGGGAAUAUUGGGCAAUGGGGGAAACCCUGACCCAGCAACGCCGCGUGAAGGAAGAAGGCUUUCGGGUUGUAAACUUCUUUUAAGAGGGACGAACACAAUGACGGUACCUCUUGAAUAAGCCACGGCUAACUACGUGCCAGCAGCCGCGGUAAUACGUAGGUGGCGAGCGUUAUCCGGAUUUACUGGGUGUAAAGGGCGCGUAGGCGGGUCUGCAAGUCAGAUGUGAAAUACCGGGGCUUAACCCCGGGGCUGCAUUUGAAACUGUUGUUCUUGAGUGUCGGAGAGGAAAGCGGAAUUCCUAGUGUAGCGGUGAAAUGCGUAGAUAUUAGGAGGAACACCAGUGGCGAAGGCGGCUUUCUGGACGACAACUGACGCUGAGGCGCGAAAGCGUGGGGAGCAAACAGG
rnacentral:rRNA from 2 species